GACGAACCGUGCGAACGUUAUUCGGAAUCACUGGGCUUAAAGCGCGCGUAGGCGGGACGGCACGUCGGUCGCUGAAAUCCCCCGGCUCAACCGGGGAACGGGCGCCGAUACGACCGCCCUGGAGGGGCGUAGGGGGACCUGGAACUUCCGGUGGAGCGGUGAAAUGCGUUGAGAUCGGAAGGAACGCCCGUGGCGAAAGCGAGGUCCUGGACGCUUACUGACGCUGAGACGCGAAAGCCAGGGGAGCGAACAGG
rnacentral:rRNA from 1 species